ensembl:snoRNA
GCAUGGCCGAAUUCUGUUCCAGCUGGUCAGUGGUGGAUACAGUCAGACACCAUGCAAAAGCCUCGUCUCAUUUCUCCUAAAUGACCGGAUGAGUGUCUCCCUCAGCCUCAUCCAGCUGAAUAGGAAUGAGUACAGUG